CCACAGUGAAACGGAGAUAAAAACCUUUUCCUGUUGUGCUUUAGUUUUUUUAAACACAAGUGAAACAAUGCCUCGAGUUCCUAUUGUUUGCUGUCUGCUGGGAAGCACACGUUUUAGCCAACAAACACAGAAAUUAUUGGAGACCUCAAGCGGCUGCCAGAGCCAUCCUAGAUAGAUUCAGCUCCCCGCCCCAGCCACUGCUCAUCAGGCCCGUUACUUGGAAAGCCCUUAACAGCAGCACGAACGGCCAGGCCCAAGAACCCAACCCGAUUUCAUCUCACUGCUUUUACCUUCUGGGCAAUUACGCUCUGCGGGUAAAGCUGUGACAUCUGGGUGACUCUCUUGGGAUCAGUUUUACUUCACACCACUGAGAAUUAUGCCCCUGUAGGAGCUGCGGGAUUGGCCCCACAUCUCAUAAAAGCAGCUCUUCAUUUCUGUCUCAAGGCCAUUCAGCAGCCCUAGCAGGUUUCAUCUAUUGGUCUUGUUAAGUCCACUUUGACCAUACGCGUAGCAGCAGAUGAUCCUCCUCGGAGCCCUGCCAAGAAAAUCUGUGGUCUGGGUACAUUGCUGGAGUUCUCAUGCUUAGUCUGGGUGCUGACGUCUUUUGGCAAGUACACCUGGGUGGAGUUCUCCCUUCUCAGAUGGCUGAGAUCAGUCUGCAUGGCAUGAGUUAACUUGCGACGCAAAUUGGCCUAAGGACACAAAAAGAAUCAAAAUUUUGUUUGAACAUUUUAGCAACAUUUGCAUAUUGUACCUCUACGGGCUUCACAAACCUGUAAUGUUGCACGCUUCUUCCUACCUUAAGUUCAUUGAAACUAACCCCUGAAGCUAACAGAAUGUGUGAACAAAACUGUAUGCAGCCCCACAAUUUUAAAAUUUUAAGUUUUUGUUAAAUGCUAAAGAUUUUGUUUUGUUAGAAUGAAAUGUCAUUUUCAUGUUAAGCUCUGCCAGGGCUUCAGGUUUAUUUCAAUCAGUUGGAAAGUACACUGAAUGCAGUGGAAGGCAGAUUAACCUCCUGGUAUCUACAAGCUAAAACAAAUCUGAAGAUCCCAAACUUUGUGGACAAUUAAACUACAGGAUCUAGCCUUUGGUUUCUACCAAACAUGAUGAGAUCUGGUCGUUGGUGUCACAGAGUAUCAAAUAAAAAGGCAAAAAUGCCUUCUUUCCAGGCAUUACUUGUUAGUCCCUUGGCAAGUGGCACAAGAUAGGUAAUUUAUGAUGGUAGUAAUAAAGCCCUGUUUAAUCAUAGCAACUGCUGUAGAUAGAACAGUAUCACUUAUGAAGUGUUAAUAUUACCAAAUCAGCAGUUAAAACAAGGAAAUGUAUGCUCCUUCUUCCAUAUCAGCAAUGAUAAAAACCACUUCAAAUUGCACAACGUAUCGUUAUCACUGAAAUACACAAAAUACAGCCUCAUGUGGUGGGAUUCUGGCCCCUACUUGUAAGUGAGAAAGUCCCCGAGUGUGCAGUCCCGACACUGGAGUCUGAAGUCCAAGUCCAUGGAGUGAUUAAGUUGGCCUGAAACUGGCUGUUUGUGUCAGGAUAAGCCAAAACACCCUCCAGGCUCCACCAGUUAGAUCUAUACUGACUGUAAUGGAAGUUUGUCUACAUGUUGACACAAUUCGGUACAUUAAUCUACCACUGAAUCUUACGCACUGUGUCACAGGAAAAUACAGAAAAGAAUAAUGAAUUUACAGAAAAAAUGUGAUGGAAAGAAAGAAUAUUUUAUUAUUAGUUUUUCUUUUUUUUUUUUUUUUUCCAAUAAAGGGUUUUGCUGACAAUUGAAA